rnacentral:rRNA from 1 species
UACAGAGGGUGCAAGCGUUGUUCGGAAUUAUUGGGCGUAAAGGGCGUGUAGGCGGCUCAUUAAGUCUUCUGUGAAAUCUACGGGCUCAACCUGUAACGUGCAGAGGAUACUGAUGAGCUUGAGUGUCGGAGAGGAUAGUGGAAUUCCCGGUGUAGAGGUGAAAUUCGUAGAGAUCGGGAGGAACACCAGUGGCGAAGGCGACUGUCUGGCUGACAACUGACGCUGAGACUCGAAAGCAUGGGGAGCAAACAGG